AGGACGAGCGCUGGCGGCGUGCCUAACACAUGCAAGUCGAACGCGCUCCAUUCGGUAGCAAUACUGAUGAAGAGCGAGUGGCGAACGGGUGAGUAGCACGUGAGCAACCUGCCCCGAAGACCGGGACAACACCGGGAAACCGGUGCUAAUACCGGAUAUCCCUAUCGGAUCGCAUGAUCUGAUAAGGAAAUGGAUUCCGCUUCGGGAGGGGCUCGCGGCCUAUCAGCUAGUUGGUGAGGUAACGGCCCACCAAGGCAUCGACGGGUAGCUGGUCUGAGAGGACGAUCAGCCACACUGGGACUGAGACACGGCCCAGACUCCUACGGGAGGCAGCAGUGGGGAAUCUUGCGCAAUGGGCGAAAGCCUGACGCAGCAACGCCGCGUGGAGGACGAAGGCUUUCUGAGUUGUAAACUCCUUUCAGCAGGGACGAUAGUGACGGUACCUGCAGAAGAGCACCGGCCAACUACGCGCCAGCACGG
rnacentral:rRNA from 1 species